GGGUUGUGAGGUUAAGCGACUAAGCGUACACGGUGGAUGCCCUGGCAGUCAGAGGCGAUGAAGGACGUGCUAAUCUGCGAUAAGCGUCGGUGAGGUGAUAUGAACCGUUAUAACCGGCGAUUUCCGAAUGGGGAAACCCAGUGUGUUUCGACACACUAUCAUUAACUGAAUCCAUAGGUUAAUGAGGCGAACCGGGGGAACUGAAACAUCUAAGUACCCCGAGGAAAAGAAAUCAACCGAGAUUCCCCCAGUAGCGGCGAGCGAACGGGGAGGAGCCCAGAGCCUGAAUCAGUGUGUGUGUUAGUGGAAGCGUCUGGAAAGGCGCGCGAUACAGGGUGACAGCCCCGUACACAAAAAUGCACAUAUUGUGAGCUCGAUGAGUAGGGCGGGACACGUGGUAUCCUGUCUGAAUAUGGGGGGACCAUCCUCCAAGGCUAAAUACUCCUGACUGACCGAUAGUGAACCAGUACCGUGAGGGAAAGGCGAAAAGAACCCCGGCGAGGGGAGUGAAAAAGAACCUGAAACCGUGUACGUACAAGCAGUGGGAGCCUCUUAAUGGGGUGACUGCGUACCUUUUGUAUAAUGGGUCAGCGACUUAUAUUCUGUAGCAAGGUUAACCGAAUAGGGGAGCCGAAGGGAAACCGAGUCUUAACUGGGCGUUAAGUUGCAGGGUAUAGACCCGAAACCCGGUGAUCUAGCCAUGGGCAGGUUGAAGGUUGGGUAACACUAACUGGAGGACCGAACCGACUAAUGUUGAAAAAUUAGCGGAUGACUUGUGGCUGGGGGUGAAAGGCCAAUCAAACCGGGAGAUAGCUGGUUCUCCCCGAAAGCUAUUUAGGUAGCGCCUCGUGAAUUCAUCUCCGGGGGUAGAGCACUGUUUCGGCAAGGGGGUCAUCCCGACUUACCAACCCGAUGCAAACUGCGAAUACCGGAGAAUGUUAUCACGGGAGACACACGGCGGGUGCUAACGUCCGUCGUGAAGAGGGAAACAACCCAGACCGCCAGCUAAGGUCCCAAAGUCAUGGUUAAGUGGGAAACGAUGUGGGAAGGCCCAGACAGCCAGGAUGUUGGCUUAGAAGCAGCCAUCAUUUAAAGAAAGCGUAAUAGCUCACUGGUCGAGUCGGCCUGCGCGGAAGAUGUAACGGGGCUAAACCAUGCACCGAAGCUGCGGCAGCGACACUAUGUGUUGUUGGGUAGGGGAGCGUUCUGUAAGCCUGUGAAGGUGGCCUGUGAGGGUUGCUGGAGGUAUCAGAAGUGCGAAUGCUGACAUAAGUAACGAUAAAGCGGGUGAAAAGCCCGCUCGCCGGAAGACCAAGGGUUCCUGUCCAACGUUAAUCGGGGCAGGGUGAGUCGACCCCUAAGGCGAGGCCGAAAGGCGUAGUCGAUGGGAAACAGGUUAAUAUUCCUGUACUUGGUGUUACUGCGAAGGGGGGACGGAGAAGGCUAUGUUGGCCGGGCGACGGUUGUCCCGGUUUAAGCGUGUAGGCUGGUUUUCCAGGCAAAUCCGGAAAACCAAGGCUGAGGCGUGAUGACGAGGCACUACGGUGCUGAAGCGACAAAUGCCCUGCUUCCAGGAAAAGCCUCUAAGCAUCAGGUAACAUCAAAUCGUACCCCAAACCGACACAGGUGGUCAGGUAGAGAAUACCAAGGCGCUUGAGAGAACUCGGGUGAAGGAACUAGGCAAAAUGGUGCCGUAACUUCGGGAGAAGGCACGCUGAUAUGUAGGUGAAGCGACUUGCUCGUGGAGCUGAAAUCAGUCGAAGAUACCAGCUGGCUGCAACUGUUUAUUAAAAACACAGCACUGUGCAAACACGAAAGUGGACGUAUACGGUGUGACGCCUGCCCGGUGCCGGAAGGUUAAUUGAUGGGGUUAGCGGCAACGCGAAGCUCUUGAUCGAAGCCCCGGUAAACGGCGGCCGUAACUAUAACGGUCCUAAGGUAGCGAAAUUCCUUGUCGGGUAAGUUCCGACCUGCACGAAUGGCGUAAUGAUGGCCAGGCUGUCUCCACCCGAGACUCAGUGAAAUUGAACUCGCUGUGAAGAUGCAGUGUACCCGCGGCAAGACGGAAAGACCCCGUGAACCUUUACUAUAGCUUGACACUGAACAUUGAGCCUUGAUGUGUAGGAUAGGUGGGAGGCUUUGAAGUGUGGACGCCAGUCUGCAUGGAGCCGACCUUGAAAUACCACCCUU
rnacentral:rRNA from 2 species